rnacentral:rRNA from 1 species
GAUGAACGCUGGCGGCGUGCCUAAUACAUGCAAGCCGAGCGAACGGACGAGAAGCUUGCUUCUCUGAUGUUAGCGGCGGACGGGUGAGUAACACGUGGAUAACCUACCUAUAAGACUGGGAUAACUUCGGGAAACCGGAGCUAAUACCGGAUAAUAUUUUGAACCGCAUGGUUCAAAAGUGAAAGACGGUCUUGCUGUCACUUAUAGAUGGAUCCGCGCUGCAUUAGCUAGUUGGUAAGGUAACGGCUUACCAAGGCAACGAUGCAUAGCCGACCUGAGAGGGUGAUCGGCCACACUGGAACUGAGACACGGUCCAGACUCCUACGGGAGGCAGCAGUAGGGAAUCUUCCGCAAUGGGCGAAAGCCUGACGGAGCAACGCCGCGUGAGUGAUGAAGGUCUUCGGAUCGUAAAACCCUGUUAUUAGGGAAGAACAUAUGUGUAAGUAACUGUGCACAUCUUGACGGUACCUAAUCAGAAAGCCACGGCUAACUACGUG